UGACAUUUGCGCAAUCGGUUUUCUAUCGCUCAUUUGCACGAUCGGUUUUCUAUCGCUCAUUUGCACGAUCGGUUUUCUAUCGCUCAUUUGCACGUCGUGUCACCAUAUGGGACUGAAGAGGUGGUUCCGCCCAGGGAACCAUACAAGCUAGAACAGCCACUGUUCACAAGGCAUAUGAACUGACAGGUUAUAGAGCAAACAACCCAAUUAUCACAACAGAUGUUGGUUCUGUGGAGUUUUAAGAUCAUCAAGGCAGGUGAAAUCAUUUCCCGGGUCAAUGUGAGCCUCUCACCAUAUUCCUUUGAAGUCAACAAUACCGGUGUGAUUUUCGGAUGCGGGAAUAAACAGGAGACAGACAUACAAUUCCCGUCAGUGCACCAGAGAAUUUGGCAGUGCGUCCGACCGGCCUCACAACCACCAACCCCGUGUAAUCACACCAGCCAAGGACCUCCACAUCUGGCUUCUACACCUGCGGGAUAGUCUGAGACCAUCCACCCGGACAGCUGAUGAAACUGAGAAGUAUUUCCAUCUGUAAUAAAGCCCUUUUGUGGUGAAAACUCAUUCUGAUUGUCUGGGCAUGGCUCCCCUGGUGGGUGGGCCUAUGGCCUCCUGGGCCCACCAUGGCUGCAACCCUGCUCAGUCAUGUGAAAGCCAUAGAUGAGGGCCUAAUUCAUUUAGCUAGGACUGCAGUGCAUAAAAUGUAAUGAGUAGUUGACUCAAAGAGAAAGACAAUAAUUGUAUUUUUCCACAUUCACUUUCACUUACUUAGCUAAUGCAGUUAAUUUAGCCUUCUCAACAACCUGACUCAAACAGAGAGGAAAGCUGUUUAUGUUAGCUUGCAGGCUAAGGCACUCCUAACUCUUCCAAGUCAAGGUAAACUUUCGGUUGUAUUAAUUUAUAUUCACCGGGGCCCACUGGUGUAACUGCUAAACUGCUUGCUGAUUGUACACAUGGAUUGGAUUGUGGGUUUAUUAACGCAUUAGUUCUAGUAGCUAUGUUGACUAUGGUGGUAGCCAAUAUGGUGACAAUGAUGUAGGCUUUGUGUAGCGGUUAUGAUAUGAAGGUUUGGC